rnacentral:rRNA from 1 species
GACGAACGCUGGCGGCGGGCUUAACACAUGCAAGUCGAACGGAAGGGCCCUGCUUUUGUGUGGUUCUCGAGUGGCGAACGGGUGAGUAACAUGUGAGUAUCCUGCGCUGUACUGUGGGAUAACUUCAGGAAACUGCUGCUAAUACCGGAUAGGAGCUCCUGCUGCAUGGUGGUGGUUGGAAAGUUUAGUCGGUUGGGGCUGGACGCGGGGGUUAUCAGCUGGUGGGGGGGGGAGUGGCUUACCAAGGGUUUGACGGGUAGCCGGCACGGGAGGGGGGACAGCGACAUUAGGCCUGAGGUAGGCCGCAGACUGCAACGGGAGGCAGCGGUGGGGAAUCUUGCCCAAUGGGCGGAAGCCUGAUGAAGAAGCGCCGCGUGCGGGAUGACGGCCAUCGGGUUGUAAACCGCAUUAGCCUGUGACGAAGCGUGAGUGACGGUAAUGGGUAAAGAAGCACCGGCUAACUACGUG